UAAGUGAAUCCUAGAUCAAAUCCUAGCCGCUCAUCUUAACUAAUCCAAUGGCUCAAAUUAAAUCUACCUAACCUUCCUAUUUUUGACCUAAAAAAAGACCAAACCCUCUAAUUUUGAAAACUCAUUCUUUUCUUCUCUCUCAAGCAGCCCAGCCUCCUCCCGUCGCCCUCCUCCCGCCGCCCUCCUCUUCUCAUCUCUUAUCUCCUUGCUCCCUCCCGUCUCUUCUCACCGGCGAGAACGGCGAGACAAAUCGCCGCCUCUCUCUCGUCUCUCCAAUCAGCGAAAGUUCGUUGCUCUGUCUCUCCCUCAACUGCUCCGGCCGCCAGCGAGCUCCA
rnacentral:lncRNA from 1 species